rnacentral:rRNA from 1 species
AACUUUUCGUUUUAACGGAACCGACCAACUUAGUUCGGCCCCGGCCCCGUCGGUUAGGUUUACCGUUCCCGGGGGCCGGGACUAGUCCGUCCGUUUCGGUUACGGACGGUCCGUACUUAAUUUAGUACCGAAACCUAACUAACGAACGUCCUCGCGUCGUCGUCGGGUCCGGGCCGUUGUACCGGCGGCCCUUAAAAAUCAGUGGCGGUGCCGUCUGGCUCUAAGCGUAGUAAUACUUCUCGCUACAGGGCCCAGUCGUUCACCCGCCAGAACCCCCAACUUUCUUAGGUUGACCUCGGAUCAGGUAGGGAUACCCGCUGAACUUAA